GAUAAGCAGGCACGUGAUGGUCAAUAUGUCUGCUUCGUCGUGAAGGCACUUUUGUCAUUUCUUGUGCUCCUGACAUAUUCACCCUAAUUUGCCAGGUAGAAAGCACCACUUCAAAUUUUCUUACAUCUCAAUUCUAUCUCCGUUGCAUUUCUGCUUCUGUUUAAUACCAAGCUCUCUGUUGUUCUUCUUCUCCAGCUUGCUAUCAACGAGUUUAUGAUUUGUAGUGAGAUGACAUGAAGAAUAAUGUAGCGUGGAACUGAACUUUGGACUUUUAUGUUUGUGAAGUGGACAAAAGUAAACUUUCUCCUCUACCAGUUAUUCACAUAAGGUCAUUGUAUACGGCCAAAAUCGGGCUCGUUCUUUGCUUGACUAAUCGAGACUAGAAUAUGAUAGAUUAAAGUCCGACCUCGAGUCAUAUCAAACCGAGAUGUGAAGUUAUAUUGCCAAGUUCGAGACCCCGGGACCGAACAAAGUCGAGAUCAGGCGAGAUCGAGAGAAACUUGCUGAGUCGGAUAACAGAAACAUGAAAUAUCCGCGAUCGAGCGUAGAUCACGGCAAAAAUCUUGGCAUGUAUCAAGGAUAGGCCGAUUAAUUAGCCAAUCAAGAGAUUUCUUGCUUCAUUUAGAACUGUAUCAAUAGUAGGACUCCCCUACUAUAUAAAGAGGGUAUGAUCAUUUGUAAAGGGGGCACU